CAAGCCGAUUAGAGGAGUAGGAAAAAUGAAAAAUAAAGAAAUAGGCCGAUACAGUGUUCUUACUUCUUCCCCUCCGCAUCGCAAAGGAAGUCAUCGUCUAUUAUUCGCCCCCAUCAGCGGCAGCCUUCGGAACAACGAUUUCUCGCUCUCCUCAGACCUUCUAAUUCACGAUGACUGAAGCCAUUGAGCAACCAUUUAGGCCUCGUGAAAAACUUAUUGAAAGGCAAAAGUAUUUUCAGAGCAUUCAUAAGCACACAUAUCUCAAAGGCCCAUUGGAUAAGGUCACUUCUGUUGCCAUUCCAAUCGCUUUGGCAGCUUCAUCGUUGUAUCUUAUUGGACGGGGGAUCUAUAACAUGUCACAUGGAAUUGGGAAGAAAGAAUGAGGUCAUAGUCUCUUUGCAUGUUAAUUUCGAAGAGUUUUAUGCUCUGGAUCCAUGUUAAUUUUGUUAUUGAAGUAAUCUCUGCCUAAUAAUUGCUUAGUUGCAGACUCGACUACCAAUUGAUUUGAAUAUCAUUUUCAGAUUCUUUGUUGUGUGUA